UACAGAGGGGGCAAGCGUUGUUCGGAAUUACUGGGCGUAAAGGGCGCGUAGGCGGCCUGUUAAGUCGAACGUGAAAUCCCCGGGCUCAACCCGGGAACUGCGUCCGAUACUGGCAGGCUUGAAUCCGGGAGAGGGAUGUGGAAUUCCAGGUGUAGCGGUGAAAUGCGUAGAUAUCUGGAGGAACACCGGUGGCGAAGGCGGCAUCCUGGACCGGCAUUGAUGCUGAGGCGCGAAAGCCAGGGGAGCAAACGGG
rnacentral:rRNA from 1 species